GACGAACGCUGGCGGCGUGCUUAACACAUGCAAGUCGAACGGUAAGGCCCUUCGGGGUACACGAGUGGCGAACGGGUGAGUAAUACGUGGGUGAUCUGCCCUGCACUUCGGGAUAAGCCUGGGAAACUGGGUCUAAUACCGGAUGGGACCACUUCCUGCAUGGGGGGUGGUGGAAAGCUUUUGCGGUGUGGGAUGGGCCCGCGGCCUAUCAGCUUGUUGGUGGGGUGAUGGCCUACCAAGGCGACGACGGGUAGCCGGCCUGAGAGGGUGACCGGCCAAACUGGGACUGAGAUACGGCCCAGACUCCUACGGGAGGCAGCAGUGGGGAAUAUUGCACAAUGGGCGCAAGCCUGAUGCAGCGACGCCGCGUGAGGGAUGACGGCCUUCGGGUUGUAAACCUCUUUCAGCACCGACGAAGCGCAAGUGACGGUAGGUGCAGAAGAAGGACCGGCCAACUACGUGCCAGCAGCCGCGGUAA
rnacentral:rRNA from 1 species